rnacentral:rRNA from 1 species
UGGGGAAUAUUGGACAAUGGGCGCAAGCCUGAUCCAGCCAUGCCGCGUGAGUGAUGAAGGCCCUAGGGUUGUAAAGCUCUUUCGCCAGGGACGAUAAUGACGGUACCUGGAUAAGAAGCCCCGGCUAACUUCGUGCCAGCAGCCGCGGUAAUACGAAGGGGGCUAGCGUUGUUCGGAAUCACUGGGCGUAAAGCGCACGUAGGCGGAUCUUUAAGUCAGUGGUGAAAUCCCGAGGCUCAACCUCGGAACUGCCUUUGAUACUGGAGGUCUCGAGUCCGGGAGAGGUGAAUGGAACUGCGAGUGUAGAGGUGAAAUUCGUAGAUAUUCGCAAGAACACCAGUGGCGAAGGCGGCUCACUGGCCCGGUACUGACGCUGAGGUGCGAAAGCGUGGGGAGCAAAACAGGAUUAGAUACCCUGGUAGUCCACGCCGUAAACUAUGGAUGCUAGCCGUUGGGCAGCUUGCUGUUCAGUGGCGCAGCUAACGCUUUAAGCACCCGCCNGGGGAGUACGGUCGCAAGAUUAAAAACUUAAAUGAAUUGACGGGGUCAUAGCUGUUUCCU